AUUGAACGCUGGCGGCAGGCCUAACACAUGCAAGUCGAGCGAGUGGCGGACGGGUGAGUAAUGUAUGGGGAUCUGCCCGAUAGCGGGGGAUAACUACUGGAAACGGUGGCUAAUACCGCAUAAUAUUGGAUGAACCCAUAUGGGAUUAGCUAGUAGGUGGGGUAAAGGCUCACCAAGGCGACGAUCUGUAGCUGGUCUGAGAGGAUGACCAGCCACACUGGGACUGAGACACGGCCCAGACUCCUACGGGAGGCAGCAGUGGGGAAUAUGGGACAAGGGGCGAAAGCCUGAUGCAGCCAUGCCGCGUGUAUGAAGAAGGCCUUAGGGUUGUAAAGUACUUUCGGCGGAGAGGCGGUACCCGCAGAAGAAGCACCGGCUAACUCCGUGCCAGCAGCCGCGGUAAUAC
rnacentral:rRNA from 1 species